rnacentral:tRNA from 1 species
GUUAAGAUGUCUGAUUAAGGUAAUAAAUUGUAAGUUUAUUUAUGAAUUGAAAUUCUCUUAAUA